GGCUGGUUAGCUCAGUUGGUUAGAGCAUGGCGUUGAUAACACCAAAGUCAACGGUUCAGAUCCCCUUACCGGCCA